rnacentral:snRNA from 1 species
ACACUUACCGGAGGAGAUGCUGUGAUCAUGAACCUGGUUUUCCCAGGGCGAAGCUCACCCACCGCACUUCGAAUGGUGCCGAUCCCUGCGAUUUCCCCAAAUGUGGGAAACUCAUCUGCGUGAUUUGUGAUAGUGGGUUCGUGCAUUCGCUCUUUCCCCUG